GAAGGAGUGAAUCACUUAUGUGAAUUACAGAAGGGAUUCACACACUGCAAGCUGGAGAAACUGAGUCUGAAGUACUGUAGAAUUGCAGAUGUUUCUUCUUUAACUCAGUCUUUGACAAACACAAAAACACUGCAGUUUUUGAAAAAGCUUGAUCUGAGAUACAAUAUGAUUGGAGACUCAAAGAAGCAGCUCGUUGAUGUGCUAAGAGACUCAAACUGUGAACUGCGCCUGGAUAAGGACUGGUUCAGAUGGGGAGUGGACCUCAUUGGUGGAUGGUUUACACCCAGGUCAAAAGCUCAGGAACUUAUGAAAUCAACAGAAAAGGAAAAGUCACCAUCAGAUGAGGAAUCCUUAGACAAGCCUCACUAGUACUGUAAUAAAUUAAUAUGUUUGAUGUUUUGAUGUCUAUAAUCAAAAUGUAUAAUGUUCAUCAUAUAUUCAAAUAUGAACUGAGAGUAUUAUCAUAAAAUAACAAAAUCCUACUCCUAACCUGAAGGAAUAUUUUUGGUGAGAAGCAAGCACUUCAAAACCUACAGCUAAUAUGAAUUCAGUGUGUUUAUAAACAGACAUAUUUAUUUGAUAACCGAUUUAAACAGCUUCAAACAGCCCAACUAAAGGUUAUUACACUGACUCUUACUGUAUGUGUUGCUUUUCAAUAAUGAUAACUAAAGCAUACAGCUGGGAGGCUCAGACUUUCAAAUUUAAUAAUGCAGCAUUAAUAUAAACACGUUCAUGAGUAAUGUUGAAUGUUUAUUGUUGGUUUUGUAUUUUCAAAUAAUAUUUUGUGGUUUUAUUUACAAAUUGAUGAACACUCAAAUGAGGUUGAUUAGCAGGAAGACAUGACUCUUUGUUAUAAGCACUACAAUCAGAUAAUGAUGUUGUGAUUACUCAACUCAAUUUUGAAGAAAUUUAAAAAUUGCUGUACAAUUUU